rnacentral:lncRNA from 1 species
AGGCUCGUUUGGGGGAUCCCCUGCUAAUUGGGUGCCCAGGUUGCCUGGUCCUGUUACCUGGAGUCGGAGCUCCGCCCCUUGGGGGGAGAGUAGUGGAGAGUCGGGAGUGUGGGGGGAAUAUUUCCUGCGCUGGUGGUCCUUGGAGAAGAGGAUCCCCACCCAAAAUAAGUGGCCAAUGAGAAUUGUUUCUAGAAUGCAGCAGACCAUGAGCUUGGCAGUUCCAAGUGCACUGAAGCAAUGAGAGCUCCCUUCCUGGUCACAAGAUGGCUACAGCAGUUCCAGCUGUCACAAGCUCACACACAAAUAUCCAGAUUCUUCUUCAUUCUCACGCAUGAAAACUUUAUAUCAGAGAUACAAAGUAGAGAAGAGGUUCUGUGGAAUGGAGGAAGAGAGAUUAAUUACAGAAAUCCACAUUGAGCCAAAUGCUCCCUGGAAUGUGAUUUGAAGAUGAAUGUUCCAAAUUAUUUUUUCUCUGUCUAGAUGACAGAUUAAUAAGGGAAUCAAUCAGUCAAUCAAACUCAAUCAAUGAGAAUGGAGCCAUGUCUGAGCAGUGAUGGAUGAUACUUGAGAGUGAAUUAGUGACUGAUUUGGAGAGAUUUCAGAGGAGUAGAGCUAACAAUGGCAAAUCAGGUUAGCUUGUAUGUAUUGCUGACAGGAUGCAGGCUGGGCAAUAGCAGUUUCUAUCCAACAGCCUCCAACUGCCUGUGAAGCUGACCCAGAGAUUCCUUCAUAUCUGAUAGAUUGACACAAGUCUAUCUGAAAUCGUUUUUUUCAACCCUUGUAAUUUUUAUAAUAAUAUGUAUCAAGCCUAGAAACCUACAUUUAAGUAUCUGAAUAUAUCUGCACAGAGGGAAACAACUCCCAACAAUGCCUCAUGACAGUAUGCUGUCAGUUGCUAAUUGGGAAGAAGCACAUAAUAAUUAGAAGGCAUUCUAUUGCUUGCUGGGGGCUCUUUCCCUAAAUGGUUAAAAUAUUCAACUCUAUUGGGCAACUACCUGGUUUAAAAAUCUUUGACAGGUGGUGUUAGCAAUGCUUAUUUACUUGUUCUUUUAGUCAUAUACUGUCUGUGCAAAAGCUCAAAAAUCAUGCCAAGCUACCAAUGGUCACUACUGACAUCUCAUCACCUCAUUACCUCCUUUAAAAUUCCUUCCAUGUCAAUUCAUCCUGCACACCUAUCUAAGCUGCUGUCCUCUCCAGGCUAUAGUGCCAGCAAGAUCUUUUCUCUAGGGACUGACAAUCAAUACUUCAGCAAGGUGAUUGCCAAGUAGUGGAGGAACAUUUUGUAAUAGAUCCUUAAAGGACAUCACAUGCUGACUUUUAGCAGAUUCAAGUAAGCAAAGACAGAGAGAAUGUGUGUGGCUCACAUUCUUUCAGCCGUUGAAGCUCAGGAAUCCUGCCCAGAUCCUAUAGUUUUGAUUGGACUGCACCACUGGAUGGAGAUAUUAGUGUUGCAAAUCCAUUAGGGAUUUAUUCACUCUAGAAAAUUUUUACAGUGGAAAGAAAACUAUAGGGUCUUUCAUUUUCUACUCUAUUCAUUUCCCCCUCAUUUUAGUAGUUAGGAAACUGUUCAAUACUUGGCAGUUUCUCUUUAGUCUUACAUUUCUGUCAUAUUGUCCCUUCCCACACUCUUUUUUACCCAAGAAAUAGGCAGAGUGUAGAUUUUGAAUGUUCCUGCCUAUGGCAGGCAUCUUCUUCCUGGCUUAUAGCCUGCCCUGUCCUUGUUGUGCAGCAGGCUGGUGGGGUUACUGGAAUACCUAGGGGUGACUUAUGUGGCUCUGAGAGCACCCUGAUGGAUUGAGCUGACUAGUGACAACUAAUUGCUUAUUUUCAGGGAUUUUCCCACUUUGCCAACAUCAUCCAAUUGAGGGCCAGAUGCUUUUUUUUUGGCCACAUGCAUGGCAUGUGGAAGUUCCUGGGCUAGGAAUCGAACCUAUCACAAAGGUGACAAUGUCAAAUCCUUAACCUGCUGAGUUACCACGGAACUUGAGGACCAGAUGCUUUUAGUCAAUAUCUUCUGCAGUUCAAAGAGGUCUAAAACUCUUACUUUACUCCAAGCAUCUAAUACAUAGGCUUGAACAAAUAUGUUUCUCCUAUUUACUCUGAAGGAAGAGUGUGACUUUUAAAGGAGUAGGUGAACAUAUAGGGUGCUUUUCUUUUCAACACAGAAUGGAAUACUGUUUUGGAAAUAGUUGGGGAAGCAGACAUGAGUAUAUACUUUAAGGACUGUAAAUUGGUGCACACUUGAUAGAUGCAAUUUGAUUCUGCCUAUAGAGAUUUAAAAUGCAUGUGCUUUUGACUGAGGAAUUUCACUUUUUACCAUGUAUCUGCAAAGUAUACCAGCAUAUGGGUUUGAGGGCAAAUGUGUAUUUAUAUAGCAUUGUUUACAGCAGCAAAAUUGGAAGCUAUCUAAAUGUCCAUUUAAUAGAGAACUUGUUAAAUUAUUGCAUAUCCAUACAAUAGCUUCUUUUAACAAUUGUUAAAAGAAUGAGGCAGAUCUGUAUGUAACAAUGUGGAAAAUUUCUAAGAUAGACUAUGUAUCCUAAGAAGGGGUAGACAAUGCUGCUAUUUAUGGAAAAAAGGGGGGAGCUGUAUGCAUACAUGUGUAUGAUUGUGUAUAUGUAACCUAUCUUGACUUUUUUUUUUUUUUUUUUUUUUUUUUAGCUUUUUAGGGCCACACGCAUGGCACAUGGAAGUUCCCAGGCUAGUGGUCAAAUUGGAGCUACAGCUGCUGGCCUACACCACAGCCACAGCAACGUGGGAUCUAAGCCACGUCUGCAGCCUACACCAUAGCUCAUGGCAACGCUAGAUCCCCAACCCACUGAGCCAGGCCAGGGAUCAAACCCACGUCCUCAUGGAUACUAUAGUCAGAUUCAUUUCUGCUUCGCCACAACCAGAACUCUAUCUUGACUUAUUAUCAGCAGUUGACUCCGAUGAAGGAAUUGGGGCACUGAGAAAAAGUUGAGAAAGAGUUUUACUUUUCACUGUAUGGCUUUUUAUAAAGCUUUAAAUGCUUUCCUUGUGCAUGUAAUUCCUAUGCAAUUAAGAUGGUAAUUAAACAAACAAUAAAUAAAGAGGUUAAUUUU